rnacentral:rRNA from 1 species
UACGAAGGGGGCUAGCGUUGCUCGGAAUCACUGGGCGUAAAGCGCACGUAGGCGGAUUGUUAAGUCAGGGGUGAAAUCCUGGAGCUCAACUCCAGAACUGCCUUUGAUACUGACGAUCUCGAGUCCGGGAGAGGUGAGUGGAACUGCGAGUGUAGAGGUGAAAUUCGUAGAUAUUCGCAAGAACACCAGUGGCGAAGGCGGCUCACUGGCCCGGUACUGACGCUGAGGCGCGAAAGCGUGGGGAGCAAACAGG